UACGUAGGGUGCAAGCGUUGUCCGGAAUUAUUGGGCGUAAAGCGCGUGUAGGCGGUUCGAUUAGUCUGCUGUGAAAGUCAGGGGCUCAACCCUUGAAUGCCGGUGGAUACUGUCGGGCUAGAGUGCGGAAGAGGCGAGUGGAAUUCCUGGUGUAGCGGUGAAAUGCGCAGAUAUCAGGAGGAACACCAAUUGCGAAGGCAGCUCGCUGGGACGUUACUGACGCUGAGACGCGAAAGCGUGGGGAGCAAACAGG
rnacentral:rRNA from 1 species